rnacentral:rRNA from 1 species
UCGCCGCGGUAAAACGAGGGGUGCAAGCGUUAUUCGGAUUGAUUGGGUGUAAAGGGUGUGCAGACGGCUUAUUAAGUCACUUGUUAAAUUCUUCGGCCUAACUGAAGGUCUGCAAGUGAUACUGAUGAGCUAGAGGGUGGAAGAGAGAAGUGGAAUUCUCGGAGUAGCGGUAAAAUGCGUAGAUCUCGAGAGGAACACCAAUGGCGAAGGCAGCUUCUUGGUCCAUUCCUGACGUUCAUACACGAAAGCGUGGGGAGCAAACAGGAUUAGAUACCCGCGUAGUCCCUGUCUCUUAUACACA